UACGGAAGGCCAGCAGUGGGGAAUAUUGCACAAUGGGCGAAAGCCUGAUGCAGCUAUGCCGCGUGUAUGAAGAAGGCCUUAGGGUUGUAAAGUACUUUCAUCGGGGAGGAAAAAACAAAACUAAUAAUUUUAUUUCUUGACGUUACCCGAAAAAGAAGCACCGGCUAACUCCGUGCCAGCAGCCGCGGUAAUACGGAGGGUGCUAGCGUUAAUCAGAAUUACUGGGCGUAAAGAGCACGUAGGUGGUUUUUUAAAGUCAGAUGUGAAAUCCCUGGGCUUAACCUAGGAACUGCAUUUUGAAACUGAAAUACUAGAGUAUCGUAGAGGGAGGUAGAAUUCUAGGUGUAGCGGUGAAAUGCGUAGAUAUCUGGAGGAAUACCUGUGGCGAAAGCGGCCUCCUAAACGAAUACUGACACUGAGGGUGCGAAAGCGUGGGGAGCAAACAGGGAUUAGAUACC
rnacentral:rRNA from 1 species